rnacentral:rRNA from 1 species
UACGAAGGGGGCUAGCGUUGCUCGGAAUCACUGGGCGUAAAGCGCACGUAGGCGGAUUGCUAAGUCAGGGGUGAAAUCCUGGAGCUCAACUCCAGAACUGCCUUUGAUACUGGCGAUCUCGAGUUCGGGAGAGGUGAGUGGAACUGCGAGUGUAGAGGUGAAAUUCGUAGAUAUUCGCAAGAACACCAGUGGCGAAGGCGGGUUGCUGGGCCGACACUGACGCUGAUGCGCGAAAGCCAGGGGAGCGAACGGG